rnacentral:rRNA from 1 species
UACGUAGGGUGCGAGCGUUGUCCGGAAUUAUUGGGCGUAAAGGGCUCGUAGGCGGUUUGUCACGUCAGGAGUGAAAACUCGGGGCUCAACCCCGAGCCUGCUUCUGAUACGGGCAGACUAGAGGUAUGCAGGGGGAGAACGGAAUUCCUGGUGUAGCGGUGAAAAUGCGCAGAUAUCAGGAGGAACACCGGUGGCGAAGGCGGUUCUCUGGGCAUUACCUGACGCUGAGGAGCGAAAGUGUGGGGAGCGAACAGG